AGGUGCAGUAGGUAAGACUUCUAAAACUAACUUUCCGUCAUAUCUGCUGAAGCUGACCCUAUGUUCCAGUAGAACUACAAGAAGCAGGUCAUUUAAAAUAAAAAUCCAGCUCCUCUGGCUCCACCUACAGCCUGGAGAGAGAUUUACAAAAAUCCACAGCUCCCUGUUCAGAUGGACCAAUCAGAGCCAGGGGGAGUGUGUCUAACUGUUCAGAUGCACCAAUCAGGGCCAGGGGAGGGAGUGUCUAACUGUUAAGAUGCAUUAAUCAGAGCCAGGGGGAGUGUCUAACUUCAGAUGCACCAAUCAGGGCCAGGGGGGGUGUCUAACUGUUCAGAUGCACCAAUCAGGGCCAGGGGGCGUG